UUGAGCCUGUAAAAUCUCAGAGCUGUAUGAUGAACUAUACUUAAAUAAUUAAGUAACAAGAUCUCUGGGAAUUUUCUCUUACAACUUCUUUCUCCUUUCCCCAUUUCAUCUCCUAUAAAUAAUUCUACAAUUUCUUCUUCACACAAACCCUCUAAAAAGAGAGAAGAAAAAAAAUAAAAAUGAAACAACACAUUAUUUGCACGAGAGAUUGUACCAUGGCCGUGGGAACCAAGAACCAGAAGAGAGAGAGAGAGAGAGAGAGGCUCCGUCAGCCGGCGCGGAUCCGAGUACGAGAAGUGGAAGAACUCGAAGAAUUCACCAGGAAGUGGAUGGAUCGAGCCAUGGAGCUCCACGAUCCACGGCCAAUUGAGCUGUGGCGGCGGCGCCGGUGCUCCGUCAGCCGGCGCGGAUCCGCUUCUUGGGNN
rnacentral:lncRNA from 1 species